rnacentral:rRNA from 1 species
GUGACGGUACCGUGGAGAAGAAGCACCGGCUAACUACGUGCCAGCAGCCGCGGUAAUACGUAGGGUCCGAGCGUUGUCCGGAAUUAUUGGGCGUAAAGGGCUCGUAGGUGGUUGAUCGCGUCGGAAGUGUAAUCUUGGGGCUUAACCCUGAGCGUGCUUUCGAUACGGGUUGACUUGAGGAAGGUAGGGGAGAAUGGAAUUCCUGGUGGAGCGGUGGAAUGCGCAGAUAUCAGGAGGAACACCGGUGGCGAAGGCGGUUCUCUGGGAAUGUCCUGACGCUGAGGAGCGAAAGUGUGGGGAGCGAACAGGAUUAGAUACCCUGGUAGUCCACGCUGUAAACGGUGGGUACUAGGUGUGGGGUCCAUUCCACGGGUUCCGUGCCGUAGCUAACGCUUUAAGUACCCCGCCUGGGGAGUACGGCCGCAAGGCUAAAACUCAAAGGAAUUGACGGGGGCCC